UUCCGGUUCGUCUAAUGGUAGGACGCCAGUUUUUGGGUCUGGAUAUCGUGGUUCGAAUCCACGGCUGGAAACCA
rnacentral:tRNA from 1 species